UACGGGGGGGGCAAGCGUUGUUCGGAAUUACUGGGCGUAAAGGGCUCGUAGGCGGCCAACUAAGUCAUACGUGAAAUCCCCCGGCUUAACCGGGGAACUGCGCUCGUGAUACUGGAUGGCUUGAGUUCGGGAGAGGGAUGCGGAAUUCCAGGUGUAGCGGUGAAAUGCGUAGAUAUCUGGAGGAACACCGGUGGCGAAGGCGGCAUCCUGGACCGAUACUGACGCUGAGGAGCGAAAGCCAGGGGAGCAAACGGG
rnacentral:rRNA from 1 species